rnacentral:lncRNA from 1 species
UCAACUCGAAUUUCUUUUUCAAAUUUCGAGUUUGAAUUGAGUUUGGUUUUGAAAUUCAAAUAACUUGAAUAAUUUGAAUAAACCGAAUACCAAACUAUAAUAUUUUACACUUUUACCUCAAACUCCCAAACCUCUUUACUUUCCCCCAAAACUUUUACUCCCUUCCACUUUCCCCCCAAAACUUUUUCUCCCCUUCCAUCCCACCCCCUUCUACCCCAAAUCCAUCCUCCCAAAUUUUUUUUGAAUAUUCCCCCCAAAAUUUUUAUCCACCAUUUACUUUUCCCCAAUCCCUCAACCCCCAAAACUUUUUAUUUCCCCCAAAACUUUUAUUUCUCACCUUUUACCCCC